rnacentral:lncRNA from 1 species
UUUAUUUAAUAAGUACAAAAAAAUUUUAAUCUUUCAGUUUUGACCAUAUUUGGUCACCAAAAGCUCUACCGAACUGUAAUCUCUAGCAGAUAGCAGUCGGAUUUUAUUUACCAUUUUUCGGGUGUCAAAUUUACAUGAAACUUUAAAUAUAGCCUGAUAAAAAUAAUUUCGACAUAUUCUCCAGUUUUCAUAAUUUUCUGACACUGUGUAUUUUCUGCUAAAAUAUCAGCUCCGUUUCUCACAGAAAAUUCUAAAUGUUCUAUUUUAGUUCCGAUUUCAGCACGAGUCGUUUCUGACUUAUAUUUUACUUCUCUAAAUCCAAUAAAAAUAGUAUCUCGCACUAUUUUUAUUUAUUUAUUUUUUUACUUUUAUAUUAAAACCUGAUAUGUU